UGGGGAAUAUUGGACAAUGGGCGCAAGCCUGAUCCAGCCAUGCCGCGUGAGUGAUGAAGGCCCUAGGGUUGUAAAGCUCUUUCACCGGUGAAGAUAAUGACGGUAACCGGAGAAGAAGCCCCGGCUAACUUCGUGCCAGCAGCCGCGGUAAUACGAAGGGGGCUAGCGUUGUUCGGAUUUACUGGGCGUAAAGCGCACGUAGGCGGACUUUUAAGUCAGGGGUGAAAUCCCGGGGCUCAACCCCGGAACUGCCUUUGAUACUGGAAGUCUUGAGUAUGGUAGAGGUGAGAGGAAUUCCGAGUGUAGAGGUGAAAUUCGUAGAUAUUCGGAGGAACACCAGUGGCAAAGGCGGCUCACUGGACCAUUACUGACGCUGAGGUGCGAAAGCGUGGGGAGCAAACAGG
rnacentral:rRNA from 1 species